CAAGAAUUACGGUCUUAUGCUUCUAAAUUAUUAAUCACGAUCGCAUGUAUAAAUUCAUUGCAGCAAUAACGAAGAAGGGAAGUAACAACCAGAGAUUGAAAACUAGUUCAGAUACGUACAUUCACUAUCAUGCAGACUUGCCAUUGGAGACAGCUCUGAAUAUGCAAAGGCUUCUUAUAUGACUGCAACAAGAGAGAACAUACCACGCUUAGAGAUGAAGCAGGCAUGCACCUGCAAGCCAUGGUGGUAAUCGAAUUCCAGUGAAAG